AGAAUUGUCAUUGGCUCUCGAGAAAUCGAUUUACUGGAUGCACAUACAAAUAAUAUAUAUGUAAAAAAAAGAAAAAGAAAAAGAAAAAGAGAAAGUUGAAUGAACAUAUGGCAGUCAACCCCCAUGAUCUGUCGUCCAAGUUUCUUUUUCUUCUUCUUUUUUCUUUCAUUUCUUUAUUCUUCUUGCUUUGCAGGUACCUGCAGCUUGGCUGAACCCAUGUCCUGCCCCUCCUCUGCACAUCUCGACAACAACUCCAUCGAUCAUCAGAAUUCACAUCAUCUUCUGCUUUACGGCAAACCCUUACCGACGGAACCAACCAUUUCUUCUUUUUCCUUUUCCUUUCCUUUCGGCUUUUUUUUCCCUCUUCUUCCUGUCUUCUGAUGAUUUGGCAGUCGACUAUCCAAGUUGAAGCCCAUGCCCUGCGUCCUAUGCAACAUGUGACCAUCAGCCUCAUCUUUCCUCUCCAUUUCAAGCCGUCACUAGCCCCGACUGCCUUCCUGCUCUCCCUCUUUCUCCCUCUCUCUCUCUCUCUCUCUCUCUCUAUGGCUCAGGCAAACAGAAGGAACACAGGCAAAAAAAAAACAAAAACAAAAGAGAAAAUAGAGAACCCUUAGCUCCGUUUUUUCUCGGAGCUCAUUCCCAAUUUCCCUGAACUCAUGCCCUCAGCUCCAGGGGCUCUCCCCGAGCUCACUCUCAAUCCCCACGGAACCCCUUAGCUCACUUUCUUUCCCCCUCAGCUCAACUCCCGUUCCCUCACUCAUCUGGCCUCUCUCUCACAGCUCAUUCCCGACGGACCCUCACAUCAAUUCUCCCUCAGCUGAUCGAUGGCACUUUCACCCUCUCGACCCCUCUGACUCUCUCGACCCGUCCUUAUUAUUUCUACUGAACACCUCAACCACCUGAUCAACAUCGACAUUACCUUCCUCAUGUCACCUUCCUUCUCUCUCUCGAUCACUCUUCCACUCAAGGGCGAAGCCAGUUCAUUAGUAGGGGGGCAAUUGCCCCCCUUGAACUUUGGAUUUCUUUAAAAUUUUGCCCCAAACUAUGUAAAAUUAAUAUUUUGUCCCCCCUGAAAAAAAUCAUUUAUGUACUAUUUAUAUCGAAUAACAUUUUUGCCCCCCUAGACGAAAAUCCUAGCUCCGCCCCUGCUUCCACUCACUCUCUCCCGGUUCCUACAGAUAAAAACACAUCACGCACAGACAAUCCUACCGUAAGCUCAUGCCCCUCCUGCAAUUCAUGGCAACAACACCAUUAAUCUUCUCUACUUCUCAAUCCUGUUCCUUUGGGGGUUUGUUAGUUUCUUUUGUUGGUCCAGCAGCCUUCAGCUUCUUGGCUGCUGAUCCUUCUCACCCGCGUCCCCAUGAACAUUAUCACCAACUUAUUCCUUCCCUUGGUCACCCUCGACUAGGGGAAGGGAAAAAAAAAGGAACAACAACAGCAGCCUCACCUCCCCUCUUCGAGCUCCUCGGCUUUGCUCCCACUGCUGUGGUGCUUGAGCUGCCGCCGCCCGCAGCCCACCUAGUUGUCCAGUGGUUCUUAAGCUGUCUUCAUCAAGCUUCGAAGCUAAGUCCCAUUUCCCUUUCCAUUCUUGUUCUCUUGCUCGGCGUUUCUCUAUGGGUGUAUGUCAUUUACUUAUCAUUGUGCUCCCCUUUUGUUUCCAUUUGUAGCAACCAGCCCAGGUCUUCAUCAUCUCACUCGCAACCUUCUUUGCAGUAGUUUCUCUUCUCUGGCUGAGCUUUUAAAUAAUUCUCUCGGCAAUUCGAACGAGUUUUGCUUUAUUUCAUUGAAUUUUUGUUGUGCUGAAACAUUUAGCUGAGUCGUGUGGUGAUUCCAUGAAUAAUUUACGAAAUAUUUGACUGAUUUUCAUGACUAGAAAUGGUGUUUGAGUUAGGGUUCUGCCAUGUCACGAUCCUCAAUAGAUUUGAAGUGCGUUGGUAGGAUUUUGAGGUCAAGAGGUUGUGGCUAUAGUUUGGACUGAGUUGUAUGUUAGCCAUUCAAUUGAUUUAAGCGUGUUUGGCAUGAUUUUUGUUUCCUUCAGGUCGAUCUAUGACAUUUUUCUUCGCUUGCUGGUGGGUCUUGGUUUUGGUUCUUAGAGGCUCAUUCGAGUCACUCUUAUGCCAUAUGAUGAGUCACCCCUGUUCUGGACACCAUAAGGGAAAUAUAUGGUUUGACACGAAGACGACGUGGAGACUUACCUAGGCUUAGGUUGAGUCCAGACUUGAAGGCCGCAUCGAUCUGCGGUAGUCAAGGAUCUUCUGAGCCAGCUCAUCCUGAGAACCUCUUGGGAUUACGUAUAAAUCUCCACUUUAGUAUCAUGAGAUAGGUCUUCGAUGUUUGAUGAGUGGAUUCGAUGAGAUUGAUACGAUUUUAUGCCCUUGAUUCAUGUUUGGACGUGUUCCUUGUCAGUUUGAUAAAGAUCUCACAUGAAUUUGGAUUAAUCACGUAAAUUUGAUUUAA